ACAUCUUCGAACCAGAAAGUUUGAAUGGGGAGAUGGUUAUUUUGAAGAUUGCAAACUUCCUCCUGCCCAGUCCAAGUUGAAGUUCCGGGGGGAGGAAAAACGUUCCAGGCCGGCAGCUGUGCGCUGUACUGGACAACAAGCACCGCCUUUGUGGAGAGCCUCGUGGGAUGAUACCCAGGCAGAAGCUGCUGCCGCUGCUUUCCAAAGCCCAGCCUAGGAAGCCGGGCUUCCCUAAGCCUUUGUUUGCCUGAAGAACGGAAGAUAAUGUUUGACAGGGGAGGGAGAGUUAUGGGAGCCUGCAGAAUUCUUUCCUCAACUCCCAGACAAGAGGGUAAGUCUUGUCACCCUAUCCAGCAGCAUCUUGUCACAUACACACACACACACACACACACACACACCACCAGUCCAGCCUAGGACCUCCAGCCCAUAUUUGAUCAGGACCAGCUGCCUCAUGGCAUGGAUUGAGCCCAGUACAUCUUUCGGAGUGAGAGAAAAUUUUACUCCAUGAGAAGGAAGCUCAGACCCAAGAACCAUAUUCAAAGCCACCUCUCUCAGCCACUCUGGUAAACAGGCUCUUCCUGCGUAUUCUGUUUUAAAGCAUUUAAUUAUUCCUCCAUCUAUAAAUAAAUAAAUACUCGCUUGCUGUAGCAUUUUCUUUCAAUUUGCUACUGUAGACAAAUCAAGACAUGAUUUAUUCUUCUGAUGUUGGCAGUCUUAAACCUCCCUCAUUUGUUUUUUUAAUAUAUAUUUUUUUAUUUUAUGUGAGUACACUUUUAUACUGUUACUGUCUUCAGAAACACCAGAAGAGGGCACCAGAUCAUAUUACAGAUGGUUUUGAGCCAUUAUGUGGUUGCUGGGAAUUGAACUCAGGACCUCUGGAAGAGCAGUCAGUGCUCUUAACUGCUGAGCCAUCUCUCCAGCCAUCACCACCCUCCCAUUUGCAUUUUAAAACCUUCCCAACACCAGAAGUUACCUGUAGGGACUAAGGGGUGAACAUGUUUUUUUGUUUUUGUUUUACUUUCUACUUUUUUUUCCCUACUGUUUUAUCUUUAUUCAAACAAUGAGCUGUUACUGUUUGGCAAUGGGAGUAUUUUUAAGGUACAGUGCAGAC
rnacentral:lncRNA from 1 species